rnacentral:rRNA from 1 species
CAGCAGCAGCCACGGUAAUACGAAGGGGGCUAGCGUUGCUCGGAAUGACUGGGCGUAAAGGGCGCGUAGGCGGCGAUCAAAGUCAGGCGUGAAAUUCCUGGGCUCAACCUGGGGGCUGCGCUUGAUACUUGGUUGCUUGAGUGGGGAAGAGGGUCGUGGAAUUCCCAGUGUAGAGGUGAAAUUCGUAGAUAUUGGGAAGAACACCGGUGGCGAAGGCGGCGACCUGGUCCUUGACUGACGCUGAGGCGCGAAAGCGUGGGGAGCAAACAGGAUUAGAUACCCCAGUAGUCCCUGUCUCUUAUAC